rnacentral:tRNA from 1 species
UCCCUGUUAGCUCAGAUGGUAAAGAAUCUGCCUGCAAUGCAGGAGACCCGGGUUCAGUCCCUGGGUUGGGAA